UCCCACAUCAUCUUUCUCUCAUUGGAUUCUUCUUCUCCAGGGUCUUCUUUGAGCGCAAUCAGUGGUCCCUUCUUAUGCAUUCAGCUGAGCAUCUCUGCUCUCCCUCUAUUUCUCUUCAUCUUCAAAUCUAAGCCCUUUCGAUUUGUUAUCGACGGCAAUCGAAGGAAGAUUCGUUUCGAGGCAACUGAGAAGUUCACGAAGCACAAUGAGAGAGGCAUUUGGUUCUUUCAAGAUUGAAUAUUGAGAUUGGAAGGAACAAAGAAAUAAAGAUGAACGAGAGUAAUGGAUGGAGACCAAUAUGAGCAGUGAUAAAUGGAGGAAGGUUAACGGACUUCCAUCUCACUUUACGAUAUAGGUUUCCAUUCAUCCUCUUCUGCAUCUUAUAAUAUUGUCAUGGAUUUUUAUCUAUGAGUUGUAAGAUACUUUCUUAUCUAUUAAUAAGAAACAAGACAAUGUCCUCGCAGUUUCCUUUUCUAAUCCAUCAUCAGGUUUGGUUUGCUGAUGGGGGAAGAUGAGAGGGAUGCAAAUUGGGAAAAUUUUUGCACUCCAUUUUCUUUUUUGAUUCAGAUUUUCCUUUUCCUAGUUUCUAAACUAUAUCAUUCAGUUGGGUUUAUUCUUAUCUUAUUAUUUUUUAUAUAUGAUUUAAAAGAGGAUUUAAUUGUUUCAAUCAUAUUAUUAUUUUUGAAGUGUAUAUUAAUCAUUGUCAUUGUAAUCAUUUCCUUCU